rnacentral:lncRNA from 1 species
GUCUUUUUCCUGCCACCGAAUAAGGGAUGAUCACACACAUACCCCACUCCACCCCCACCUCGGCGCACAGUUUCUCUGUGAAGGGACAAGCGGGAUGGGGAAAGUUUGGCACCACGGCGGUGGUGGUGGCAGCAACCAGCGGCGGCACACAGGGGUCCCGGUGGGAGGCAGGGUCGCUGAAAACCCCGGCCCGAUCGCCUCCUUACCUCGGUGCUUUCGACUGCGUUCUCCGCCAUUUUCCUCCGGAGGAGCAGGCAGCGGGAGGAGUGUUUCAUGCCCAUAAGAGCCAACAAGGGGUUUGGGAUUUGAGAUAGUAAAGAACGGGAGACGGCUGAUGUGGCUUUAAAAGAGAGCCUAAGAAUGCAAGAGGAGGGGGAAAAAAAUCCCAGCCAGCCCCUCUCCCGGAGCGUCCUCCGCGACAAUCGAGCUCUGUGGAGUC